AUUGAAGAAGAAAGCGUGUCAGGACAAAAGGACACACAUUUGUGUUUGUUUUCUUCUCAUUUACCUUGUCAAUUUUAUUU
rnacentral:ribozyme from 12 species